rnacentral:rRNA from 1 species
GACGAACGCUGGCGGCGUGCUUAACACAUGCAAGUCGAACGGAAAGGCCCUGCUUUUGUGGGGUUCUCGAGUGGCGAACGGGUGAGUAACACGUGAGUAACCUGCCCUUGACUUUGGGAUAACUUCAGGAAACUGGGGCUAAUACCGGAUAGGAGCUCCUGCUGCAUGGUGGGGGUUGGAAAGUUUCGGCGGUUGGGGAUGGACUCGCGGCUUAUCAGCUUGUUGGUGGGGUAGUGGCUUACCAAGGCUUUGACGGGUAGCCGGCCUGAGAGGGUGACCGGCGACAUUGGGACUGAGAUACGGCCCAGACUCCUACGGGAGGCAGCAGUGGGGAAUAUUGCACAAUGGGCGGAAGCCUGAUGCAGAAACGCCGCGAGCGGGAUGACGGCCUUCGGGUUGUAAACCGCUUUCGCCUGUGACGAAGCGUGAGUGACGGUAAUGGGUAAAGAAGCACCGGCUAACUACGUG